rnacentral:rRNA from 1 species
GACGAACGCUGGCGGCGCGCCUAACACAUGCAAGUCGAACGAGCGAGAGAGAGCUUGCUUUCUCGAGCGAGUGGCGAACGGGUGAGUAACGCGUGAGGAACCUGCCUCAAAGAGGGGGACAACAGUUGGAAACGGACGCUAAUACCGCAUGACAUACGGACAUGGCAUCAUGAUCGUAUCAAAGGAGCAAUCCGCUUUAAGAUGGACUCGCGUCCAAUUAGCUAGUUGGUGAGGUAACGGCCCACCAAGGCGACGAUUGGUAGCCGGACUGAGAGGUUGAACGGCCACAUUGGGACUGAGACACGGCCCAG